rnacentral:rRNA from 1 species
UACGUAGGGUGCGAGCGUUGUCCGGAAUUACUGGGCGUAAAGAGCUCGUAGGUGGUUUGUCGCGUUGUUCGUGAAAACCGGGGGCUUAACUCUCGGCGUGCGGGCGAUACGGGCAGACUGGAGUACUGCAGGGGAGACUGGAAUUCCUGGUGUAGCGGUGGAAAUGCGCAGAUAUCAGGAAGAACACCUAUGGCGAAAGCAGCUCUCUGGGACGGUACUGACGGCUGAGACGCGAAAGCGUGGGGAGCGAACAGG